rnacentral:rRNA from 1 species
GACGAACGCUGGCGGCGUGCUUAACGCAUGCAAGUCGUACGGUAAGGCCCUUUCGGGGGUACACGAGUGGCGAACGGGUGAGUAACACGUGAGUAACCUGCCCACAACUUUGGGAUAACGCUAGGAAACUGGUGCUAAUACUGGAUAUGUGCUCCUGCUGCAUGGUGGGGGUUGGAAAGCUCCGGCGGUUGUGGAUGGACUCGCGGCCUAUCAGCUUGUUGGUGGGGUAGUGGCCUACCAAGGCGGCGACGGGUAGCCGGCCUGGGAGGGUGACCGGCCACAUUGGGACUGAGAUACGGCCCAGACUCCUACGGGAGGCAGCAGGGGGGAAUAUUGCACAAUGGGCGCAAGCCUGAUGCAGCAACGCCGCGUGCGGGAUGACGGCCUUCGGGUUGUAAACCGCUUUCAGCAGGGACGAAGCUUUUUGUGACGGUACCUGCAGAAGAAGCACCGGCUAACUACGUG